rnacentral:rRNA from 1 species
UCAGGCCUAACACAUGCAAGUCGAACGAGAAAGUUUCCUUCGGGAAGCGAGUAAAGUGGCGCACGGGCGCGUAACACGUAAAGAACCUACCCUACAGUCCGGGGACAACCACUAGAAAUGGUGGCUAAUUCCGGGUAAGCUCUAAGUAUCGUAAAGGUAUUAAGAGGAUAGUGGCCCUCUGAUCUAUGGUCACGAUGUUGGAUGGCUUUGCGGCCCAUCAGCUUGUUGGUGAGGUAAUGGCUCACCAAGGCUAUGACGGGUAGCUGGUCUGAGAGGACGAUCAGCCACACUGGGACUGGAACACGGCCCAGACUCCUACGGGAGGCAGCAGUGGGGAAUAUUGGACAAUGGGGGAAACCCUGAUCCAGCAAUACCGCGUGUGGGAAGAAGGCCCUUGGGUUGUAAACCACUGUCAUAAGGGAAGAAGGUGCUAUUGUUAAUAGCUUUAGUACUUGACGGUACCUUAAGAGGAAGCACCGGCUAACUCCGUGCCAGCAGCCGCGGUAAUACGGAGGGUGCAAGCGUUGUUCGGAUUUACUGGGCGUAAAGCGUGUCUAGGCGGGAAGAUAUGUCAGGUGUGAAAGACCUCGGCUCAACCGGGGAAAUGCGCCUGAAACUGUCUUUCUUGAGUGAUGGAGAGGUGGGCGGAAUUCCAUGUGUAGCAGUGAAAUGCGUAGAUAUAUGGAAGAACAUCCGAGGC